GCGGGGAAAGGGUCACAGCUCAGUGGCUGAGCAUCUCCUUUGCAUGCAGAAGGUCCCAGGUUUGACUCCUGGCAUCUCCCGGCA